AUUGAACGCUGGCGGCAUGCCUUACACAUGCAAGUCGAACGGCAACAUGGAGAGCUUGCUCUCUGAUGGCGAGUGGCGAACGGGUGAGUAAUGCAUCGGAACGUACCGUGUAAUGGGGGAUAACGUAGCGAAAGUUACGCUAAUACCGCAUACGACCUGAGGGUGAAAGCAGGGGAUCGCAAGACCUUGCGUUAUACGAGCGGCCGAUGUGAGAUUAGCUAGUUGGUGAGGUAAAGGCUCACCAAGGCGACGAUCUGUAGCGGGUCUGAGAGGAUGAUCCGCCACACUGGGACUGAGACACGGCCCAGACUCCUACGGGAGGCAGCAGUGGGGAAUUUUGGACAAUGGGGGCAACCCUGAUCCAGCCAUGCCGCGUGAGUGAAGAAGGCCUUCGGGUUGUAAAGCCCUUUCGGCCGGGAAGAAAUCGCACAGGCUAAUACUCUGUGUGGAUGACGGUACCGGCAUAAGAAGCACCGGCUAACUACGUGCCAGCCGCCGCAGUAA
rnacentral:rRNA from 1 species